rnacentral:rRNA from 1 species
GAUGAACGCUGGCGGCGUGCCUAAUACAUGCAAGUCGAGCGAACAGACGAGGAGCUUGCUCCUCUGACGUUAGCGGCGGACGGGUGAGUAACACGUGGAUAACCUACCUAUAAGACUGGGAUAACUUCGGGAAACCGGAGCUAAUACCGGAUAACAUGUUGAACCGCAUGGUUCAACAGUGAAAGACGGUCUUGCUGUCACUUAUAGAUGGAUCCGCGCCGCAUUAGCUAGUUGGUAAGGUAACGGCUUACCAAGGCAACGAUGCGUAGCCGACCUGAGAGGGUGAUCAGCCACACUGGAACUGAGACACGGUCCAGACUCCUACGGGAGGCAGCAGUAGGGAAUCUUCCGCAAUGGGCGAAAGCCUGACGGAGCAACGCCGCAUGAGUGAAGAAGGUCUUCGGAUCGUAAAACUCUGUUAUUAGGGAAGAACAAAUGUGUAAGUAACUAUGCACGUCUUGACGGUACCUAAUCAGAAAGCCACGGCUAACUACGUG